CCACCAACAGAAUGCACAAUACGAGAGUGGGGUAAAAUGGAAGAAAAACUCAAGACAUUAUCAAAAACAAAAUGCAAUUUUCGCAGCGGUAUUGCUAAAUGGCCAAAAUUAGAAGAACGGGUGAAGGAAUUUGUACUUAAUCAUAGAAAAGCGGGCAUUGCAUUAUCAACAAAAAUGAUCAUCAUUCAAGCAGUGAAAAUCAGCAAAGAGUUGCAAAUACAAGAUUUCAAAGGGACAGCAUCAUGGUGCCAAAGAUUUAUGAAGAGGCACGAGCUUCGGAUGCGAACAAGAACCAGGAUUGCCC